AUUGAACGCUGGCGGAAUGCUUUACACAUGCAAGUCGAACGGCAGCACGGACUUCGGUCUGGUGGCGAGUGGCGAACGGGUGAGUAAUGUAUCGGAACGUGCCCAGUCGUGGGGGAUAACGUAGUGAAAAUUACGCUAAUACCGCAUACGAUCUAUGGAUGAAAGCGGGGGAUCGCAAGACCUCGCGCGAUUGGAGCGGCCGAUAUCAGAUUAGGUAGUUGGUGGGGUAAAGGCCCACCAAGCCAACGAUCUGGAGCUGGUCUGAGAGGACGACCAGCCACACUGGAACUGAGGCACGGUCCAGACUCCUACGGGAGGCAGCAGUGGGGAAUUUUGGACAAUGGGCGAAAGCCUGAUCCAGCCAUUCCGCGUGCAGGAUGAAGGCCUCGGGUUGUAAACUGCUUUUGUACAGAACGAAAAGGUUUCUACUAAUACUAGGAGCUCAUGACGGUACUGUAAGAAUAAGCACCGGCUAACUACGUGCCAGCAGCCGCCGUAA
rnacentral:rRNA from 1 species